rnacentral:rRNA from 1 species
GGCAACCCUGACGGAGCAACGCCGCGUGUGGGAGGACGGCCUUCGGGUUGUAAACCACUUUUCUCAGGGAAGAAGAACUGACGGUACCUGAGGAAUCAGCCUCGGCUAACUCCGUGCCAGCAGCCGCGGUAAUACGGAGGAGGCAAGCGUUAUCCGGAAUUAUUGGGCGUAAAGCGUCCGCAGGUGGUGAGUCAAGUCUGCUGUCAAAGCCAGGAGCUCAACUCCUGUCCGGCAGUGGAAACUGACCCACUCGAGGGUGGUAGGGGUAGAGGGAAUUCCCGGUGUAGCGGUGAAAUGCGUAGAUAUCGGGAAGAACACCAGUGGCGAAGGCGCUCUACUGGGCCGCGACUGACGCUGAGGGACGAAAGCUAGGGGAGCG